AACCCGGGUCUGUCUGUCAUCAAAACCCAUGUUCUUGCGGGAGACAUGAACAGACACUUCUCAAAGAAGACAUCCAGAUGGCCAACAGACACACGAGAAGAUGCUCAACGUCACUCAUCGUCAGGGAAAAACAAAUCACAGCCACAAGGAGAUACCACCUUGCACCUGUCAGAAUGGCCAAGAUCAAAACCUUAAGAAACAACAAGAGUUGGCGAGGAUGUGGAGAAAAAGGAGCACUCACGCACUGUUGGUGGGAACGCAAACUGGUGCAGCCUCUCUGGAAAACGGAAGCCUCCCCAGCAUACCCCAACCCGCGUGCUCCUGCGUUCCUGCAGACUUGAUUGCUCGGUGGACCUCAGUGGACACGGCUGUCUUCUUGCUGAGCUGACCUUCACGAAUGACCACUCAGCCCCCAGAAAGUGAGACUCGGUAGAGUUGCCCAACCAGCUGAGUGACCUGGAGUAACUUAACCUCACUGUCCCUCUGUUAGCUCAGGGAUCCAGAGGAGAUAAGACCAUCUUUCCCGGAGUGUGUUUAAGGAUUCAAUGAGGUAAUGCCUGUGAAAUGCCUGACACAGCCAUAAAGAGCGCUUCCUGAUGGGUUAUCAUCAUA